UACGAGUGCCCCAAGCGUUAUCCGGAAUUAUUGGGCGUAAAGGGUGUGUAGGUGGUUGUGUUAGUCUUCUGUUAAAGCUCCCGGCUUAACCGGGAACAUGCAGAGGAAACGGCACGACUAGAGGAUGUGAGAGGUAAGCGGAACUCAUGGUGUAGGGGUGAAAUCCGUUGAUAUCAUGGGGAACACCAAAAGCGAAGGCAGCUUACUGGCGCAUUCCUGACACUGAAACACGAAAGCGUGGGUAGCGAAUGGG
rnacentral:rRNA from 1 species